UAGGGAUGACAGCUGAGAUGUAUAUAGAAGUAGGUGGGUUGGACGUUCAACAAAGUUCUUUAAGGGGAAAGAUAACUCCAAUGAUAAAUGCAUCCUUUUGCCUUUGUUCUGUCUUCCUUUCUGCAGCUUGAAGCAAUGGAUGUGAUGUUUGGCGCUUCAGUCCCCAUUUUGAUAUUGUGAAAUUCCCCUGAGAAUGCAAGCAAAUGUUGAGAAUGGUGCAACAGAAAGGAAGAACUCGGUCCCUGAUGUAUUUAUGGAGCUACAAUUUUAGAGGCAGGUCCAGAGAGCAUCAGAAAUGCACCAGCCUUCACAAGUGCUCAAGAGGAGACAGACAGUUUACACAGAAAGACUCAUCUGAAAGGAAUGUGGAGGUCAGAGAAAAGUGAUGGGAAAGUUACCACAGCCUGCAAAUGAGAAAUGAUGAGAGCCUGACUGGGGUAAGCAGUUGUGUGGGAUGGAAAGGUAGUGCUAGAUGAGGCAGAUGCUUAGGUAGAGCAAGAACAGGACAGGAGAAGCAAGUAAAGGCGGGGACUGGGGGAAGGGAAGGGGCCUAGAGCUUUGGAGGGCUUCUGGCUGGGUGGCUGGGUGGCUAGCAGGGCCAUUAUUGAAGGAAGGGGAUCGGGAAUAGAUUUGAGUCCAGAUAAGACAAUUACAUUAUUUUUGAACAUAUCAGGCAUGUAGUAUUGGAGAUAUUCACUGCGCACAGAAGUUUGUUGUUCUGAACUGUCAUCCUGGAGUCUUAGAUUUGGGCCGGUGUGGGUGUGGUCAGCUAAGGAUGGAAUGGGAGGGCAUAUGGGAGCUGGAGCCACAGAACCAUGAUUAUCAACACUUAAUAGACAUUUUAAUAAACAACCAUAAUCACAUUUCCAUUAAAUAAAUUCCUUUCUUUUCUACUUCAUGAUGCAAUGUGACCUGUGUGAGAGAAUAUUAAGCUGAACUUCUUGGGUAUGAAUUGGGAUCUGUUUCUGGAGGGGUAAUUGGGGAAGUUAGUUUCUCUGACCUUCAAUAUAUCAUUUUUUAAAAAAGGGAUAGACGGCUUCAUCUCAAAUCGUACAAUUUUAUAAUUACAGGACUUCUCAUGAAGGUGAUGAAAUGAGGGAGGCUUGUGCUUUCUUUGUUUUCUAGUAUUGUUUUCCACCUCUGUUUUCUCAGAGGUUUUCUGAUCAUUGACAGUGGAUAACAGAAGAAAGUCACUCAAGGGGCACAGGAAAAUUUCCUCAUAAAGAAUAAUCUUGAAUGUAAAAGAGUACAAAGGUGGAGAAACUCAGAGAU
rnacentral:lncRNA from 1 species